GCAUAUAUCUUUGAAAAUUUAUAUGCAGGUUUGUGUUUUAAAAAACGCAUGUUACUGAUGAAAUAUGCAAAUUUGUAGUGAUACAUGCAGGAUCCUGUUUUUUUUUUUUUUUUAAAGGGAUGCAGGAUCCUGUUUUCAAAAUAAUAAAUUGAUUGCUUUAUUUAUUUAGUUGUCAAUUUUAGAGUAGUGGAUAAGUAUGUGUCUAACUGACACUUAGAUAGAUAAAUAAAUACAUGUUUAAUUUUAUAUUUAUCUUUUAAGUUGGUCAACAUUGUGGGUUAGUGGGAUACAUAUGGAGUUAAUUUAACGUGAGUAAACU
rnacentral:lncRNA from 1 species